rnacentral:rRNA from 1 species
CUGCCCUUGGGUUCGGAAUAACAGUGGGAAACUACUGCUAAUACCGGAUGAUAUCUUCGGACCAAAGAUUUAUCGCCCAGGGAUGAGCCCGCGUAAGAUUAGGUAGUUGGUGUGGUAAAGGCGCACCAAGCCGACGAUCUUUAGCUGGUCUGAGAGGAUGAUCAGCCACACUGGGACUGAGACACGGCCCAGACUCCUACGGGAGGCAGCAGUGGGGAAUAUUGGACAAUGGGCGCAAGCCUGAUCCAGCAAUGCCGCGUGAGUGAUGAAGGCCUUAGGGUUGUAAAGCUCUUUUACCCGGGAUGAUAAUGACAGUACCGGGAGAAUAAGCUCCGGCUAACUCCGUGCCAGCAGCCGCGGUAAUACGGAGGGAGCUAGCGUUAUUCGGAAUUACUGGGCGUAAAGCGCACGUAGGCGGCUUUGUAAGUUAGAGGUGAAAGCC